UGAGGAACAAGGAGGUUUUAGGGUCCACGAGCAUAAUGUGUUUGAAAUUGCGUCUUAGGCUUUGUUCGUUUCUCCAUUUGACAGAUCCAUCCAACUCAUCUAUUCAACAUGUCCAUCUGAAUGAUUCAUUCGACUCUUGUUCGUUUCAUUUUUAGUCGGUUCAUUUGACUGGACUAUCCGAAUGAGAUGUUGUUCGUUUGCUUAUCUCUAUCUCCAUCCAAAUGUUUUGUAAUAAUACAAAUACCUAAAAUACCCAUGCUUUCAUCUAAUUAUAUUUUUAUUAUUACCUGUAAACAUAUUAAUUUU
rnacentral:sRNA from 1 species